UAGUAAUAAACAGCACAAGUAUGAUCACUCACCAUAUUGAUCCUUGUCUGGUGGUGGCAGUGGUAACACUAGAGCAAGAAGUGGGAUGUAAUUACAUUUUAUGUGCCAGGAAUCUCUGAGAUUUCAGAGGGCUGAGGGUGAGGGUUCUCUCCUCCUCCUCCACACUACCUCCCUACUCCCCAGCUGACAUGGUGUUUCUGGGGAACUGAAACUGGGAAGCCCUAAAUGGACUUCACACCUUGGCAGAGACCCUUGAGCAGGAUUUGUGUCUCCUCUAAAGUCAUGUUCCCCAGGCUCAGCAAGGCACUGCAGGGAGCAGCAACCUUGUCAAAGGAGGCUCUAAGCUCAGUCUGGAUUCAAUGGGAGACUGUACCUCUCUACAAAUAA
rnacentral:lncRNA from 1 species